GACGAACGCUGGCGGCGUGCCUAAUACAUGCAAGUAGAACGCUGAAGAGAGGAGCUUGCUCUUCUUGGAUGAGUUGCGAACGGGUGAGUAACGCGUAGGUAACCUGCCUGGUAGCGGGGGAUAACUAUUGGAAACGAUAGCUAAUACCGCAUGAUAUUAAUUGUCGCAUGAUAAUUAAUUGAAAGAUGCAAUUGCAUCACUACCAGAUGGACCUGCGUUGUAUUAGCUAGUUGGUGAGGUAACGGCUCACCAAGGCGACGAUACAUAGCCGACCUGAGAGGGUGAUCGGCCACACUGGGACUGAGACACGGCCCAGACUCCUACGGGAGGCAGCAGUGAGGAAUAUUGGUCAAUGGACGGAAGUCUGAACCAGCCAAGUAGCGUGCAGAAUGACGGCCCUCCGGGUUGUAAACUGCUUUUAGUUGGGAAUAAAAAAAGGGACGUGUCCCUUAUUGUAUGUACCUUCAGAAAAAGGACCGGCUAAUUCCGUGCCAGCAGCCGCGGUAAUACGGAAGGUCCAGGCGUUAUCCGGAUUUAUUGGGUUUAAAGGGAGCGUAGGCGGAUUGUUAAGUCAGCGGUUAAAGGGUGUGGCUCAACCAUACAUUGCCGUUGAAACUGGCGAUCUUGAGUGCAGACAGGGAUGCCGGAAUUCGUGGUGUAGCGGUGAAAUGCUUAGAUAUCACGAAGAACUCCGAUCGCGAAGGCAGGUGUCCGGGCUGCAACUGACGCUGAGGCUCGAAAGUGUGGGUAUCAAACAGGAUUAGAUACCCUGGUAGUCCACACAGUAAACGAUGUAUACUCGCGGUUUGCGAUAGAUUGUAAGCCGCCAAGCGAAAGCAUUAAGUAUACCACCUGGGGAGUACGCCGGCAACGGUGAAACUCAAAGGAAUUGACGGGGGCCCGCACAAGCGGAGGAACAUGUGGUUUAAUUCGAUGAUACGCGAGGAACCUUACCCGGGCUUGAACUAACGGUGACGAAUCUAGAGAUAGAUUUUUCUUCGGACACCGUUGGAGGUGCUGCAUGGUUGUCGUCAGCUCGUGCCGUGAGGUGUCGGCUUAAGUGCCAUAACGAGCGCAACCCUUCUCCUCGGUUGCCAUCGGGUAAUGCCGGGCACUCCGUGGACACUGCCAUCGUAAGAUGUGAGGAAGGUGGGGAUGACGUCAAAUCAGCACGGCCCUUACGUCCGGGGCUACACACGUGUUACAAUGGGGGGUACAGAAGGCCGCUACCCGGCGACGGGAUGCUAAUCUUUAAAACCUCUCUCAGUUCGGAUCGGAGUCUGCAACCCGACUCCGUGAAGCUGGAUUCGCUAGUAAUCGCGCAUCAGCCAUGGCGCGGUGAAUACGUUCCCGGGCCU
rnacentral:rRNA from 1 species